AGCAGCCGCGGUAAUUCCAGCUUCAAUAGCGUAUAUUAAAGUUGUUGCAGUUAAAAAGCUCGUAGUUGAAUUUCGGGAUCAAUUAAUCGGUCGUGCCUCUGGUACGCACUGGUUUUAUUGGUUUCUCCCUUCUGACGAACCAGGAUGUCAUUAAUUUGGUGUCUUGGAGAAUCAGGACUGUUACUUUGAAAAAUUAGAGUGUUUAAAGCAGGCUAACGCUUGAAUACAUUAGCAUGGAAUAAUGAAAUAGGACGUUUGAUCCUAUUUUGUUGGUUUCUAGGAUCGGCGUAAUGAUUAAUAGGGAUAGUUGGGGGCAUUAGUAUUCAAUUGUCAGAGGUGAAAUUCUUGGAUUUAUUGAAGACUAACUACUGCGAAAGCAUUUGCCAAGGAUGUUUUCAUUAAUCAAGAACGAAAGUUAGGGGGAUCGAAGACGAUCAGAUACCGUCGUAGUCUUAACCAUAAACUAUGCCGACUAGGGAUCGGAUGAUGUUAAUUUUUAAUGUACUCAUUCGGCGCCUUA
rnacentral:misc_RNA from 1 species